UCUGACCUGGAGACUUUCAUGAGUUGUGUCUUCAGUCAGGGCUUGGUGCUGCCUGCGUUGUCUGUGGGAGAAAUUGCAUUUGCAAAUCAGAGGAAGGUCACAGAGCGUGUCGCUGUGUUGCUUCUCCAGACAGUGUUUUCAUCUUCCGUGCACCUCUCCCCAAUCACCUCCACGUGCCUCGGUUGAGGAGGAAAAAGUCCCUCUGUCCCAGACGUCAGCGUCAACAAGAGCCGUGUAGACGGAGUAGGAAGCAGGAAUCUGUUUACUCCUGAGCUGUGUUAAUUAUCUGCAGAGGGCGGUGGGACCAGGCUGUGUCUGUUCUCUCGACGUCUUGCCUUACGCUGGGUCAUGCCAUAGAGACCAAGACGUCUGGAGCCCUAGAAACUUCUGAUGUCAAAUGUCUUUAGGAAAUUACAAAAAUCAAACUAACUCACCUAAAACUUUCCAUUCCCCUCAAAACCCAGCACAGCCUUGGGUGGCUUCAGGAAGUUUCUGCAGAUCACGCUCAUCCUUUACAUGCUGAGGCCGAACAUAGCCCUGAGCUUGUCAUUUCUUGUUCUCUAACUGCUUCCCUGAAUCAAGCAGCCAGUUUUUAUUGAAAAUCGAACAUCUUUAACUCUCUGCCAGAAACGGGAGGUCAUUCAGAAGGAGGAGAGAAGCCUUGAGGUUCAUUGUCACCAUCCAGAAUGAUAGCUGGCCUGGAUGUAAUGGGAAAAGGAGGCUUCUUGGGGAAGAAGGCAAAGGUGGCAGUGGUGACCAGUGGACACCAGCGGGGAGGACCCCAGAUGCUGUGGACUGAGACGGACACCUGGUGAUGCCUGGGGAGGUCACACAUUUUCACAUGACAGCCAAGGCAGUGAGAGGAGACAAAGGGAAAAGAGUGAAUGAAGUGGGCAGAGAGUGGCAGCAAUCAGAAGCAGUUACAGGGGCUGUUGGGGGAUUCGAUGUAAUGAUGAGGGAACAAGAAACAGACUAUCACACAGUGGAGGCCGAAGUCAGGGAAGCAAGGAGAGAUGCAGGAUUGCCCUGUGGUGGGAACGCGGAAAGCCUUGCGCACCUCAGCGGUCCCUGAAGAUGCCAACUUCCACCACCUAGACUCUGCUCUGUGUCACGACUCGAGGGCGGUUGUAGGACAGAGGUCAGAACCGGCAGCCUCUAGGAGUACCCUUGCGCCGUCCUCAAAGAGUUAAACUCUCAGCCACCCGGGAGACUCCUGAGAUCUAGAACAAUCUAUUUCCCAACAGAGAUGACUAGCCAAGCUUUACUUCUGCAGACAGGAUUCCUAUCUUCAAGGGGCUGACAUAAAGUUGAACAGAUACACACUAAUAAAAACUAUAUAAUGGCUGAUUAGGGAUCAUUAUCGAGUACCUCCUGCAUGUUCAUCUUUGCGUUGGAUGCUCUAUUGACAUUGUUAAUGAUUUAUAUACAACUUCAUGAGGUAGGUACUGAAUCAGCUGUGGGGAUUCAGGGAAGGAAGUGAUUAUGAUGGUGGUGUGAGGAUUUCCUUAAUGGGAUGGGACCUGAGUGGGAUUUGAAGGAUGAAGAGGACUCAGAGAAGGCUGGGCACACUUGGGGGUUGGUUUGUGGUAACUCUUCAAUCUUUCUUCCAUACAUUGGUUCUCCUCAAAAGUAGGGAGUGUAUCCCACUCUCCCUGAGUGUUUGAACCACUACCUAGCUGGGUAAUUUCUAUCAGUCCCUCCUACAGACAUCAGAGAAUUGCAUUUCUCUAACUUGGUGAAGAAGAAAGAAAUGAUGGGUGCUGCAGAAGUGUUCCUGGUGGCAAGGCUACAGGAGGCCCGAAGAGACCGUCCUCGCAGCUGAGCCUCUGAUGCUUCAGAGUUUUGGGUUGAGGUCCAAGUUGAUGACAACUCUUGGGAAAGCCGCUGACUAGAGAUCGCUGUGAAAUUCCAGACCAGACAGAUGCUUUCUAGCUCAGGAACCAGGAGGCACAGUUUGAGUAUUGGCUAUACAUCUAUUACUUAGGUUUUCAAGAAUGAGGAUGUUCUUUGUUUCUAGGGACAAACACUCAUGAGGAAACCCUGAAUGCCAUCUUUGUAUUCCAGGCUCAAUACUGCCAAGUGUCUCCUGAACUUGCUAACAGGAAGAGACCAGAGAGAACAGUUGAAGAUUGAAAGAUGGUAAAUGCUAGAAAGCACCCGAGAAAGAACUAUUGCACCAGUAUUGCCAACCUUCCUUUUUGCUGAUGAGGUCAUUGAAGGACAUGCUCAAAAAUAUUUCUAAAAUGAACAAACAGAUGCAUGAGUGAAUUAAAGAAAACCAACAGUUAAACUCGAGAAGACAUCAUUCUUCCUGGACCCUCAGUCUGCCACCCCAAGAAACGGUGAGGUAACUGGGCCGAGAUGAUUGCCAAACACCUGCAAGACGCAGGCCCGGUGCCGUGAGCACGGAGGAGCCCGGCUUUCCGGAGAGACUGUGGGACAGGGAAUGUGCGAUUCUUGUUCCUUCUUCAUGGGAGUCACAUUCUUGUCAAGCGUGCAAAUGGAAAAUGCUCCUCUACUCCAGUGACAAAGUAGAAUAACAUGCCGUGUCGGGGUGGGUGGUAGAUGAGAACUGGCGGAUCUGCUGUUGUGUAAUCACAAAGGCAGCUCGAUUCCAUAACUUCACCAGAUGUUUCUGGAAACAAGGCUGUUCUUUUCGGGACCCUUGAGAUUGCUGACUGUGGUGGAACAACCUCAGGGGGUUUGCGAUGUUGGAACGUUUCCUCUCACGUGGCCUGUUAUCCUGCCUCAAAUGCUACCUUUUUUCACUUGUUUCUUUUCAUCAGAUUAUCCUAUCACAAAUCUCUUAAAGAUGCAGCGUGGCUCUGCGGAGAGAGAGAUCGUGUCCGAGGCCCAGCUCUGCCACCUACCUGCUGUGUCAUCUUGGAAUUGACAGAGCACCUGUCUGGGCCUCAGGAGGUGGGGCUUCAGGGAUGAGACCUGCCUACCUUACAGAGCAGCUGUGAAGUCGAGGAGAUGCUGUGUGCAAUAUGGGGAAGGGACAAGGCCUCAACACACACCUCAGUUAGCAUCUCAGCUGGACCUCAACAACCAGCCCCAGCCAGGCCCUGCCGGAGAAGGGCUCGGAAGAGAACUUAGGAGGGGCCCUGGGCAGAACCUCUGAUUUGGGGACCAGGCAGAAUCGAGUUCACAUCUCACCUCUACUGUCCAUUUGGGCAAAUUAUCAAUACUUAGCCUCUUCUGAUUCAGCUCUCUUAUACAUAUUGAUAUAUUAGUGUAACUAUUAUAGGGUUGCUUGUGAAGAGGAAAUGAAGGAAUUUAGACAACGUGUCCAGAGCACAGUUUAUGAACUCAAUAAAUGCUGGCUUUUGUUAGUAGCAGAAUGGAGUGGACCUCCAGCUCUGUCGCUUACCAGCCCAGUGACUUCAGGUGAAAUAGUUAAUAACUCUCUGAGCCACAGCUUGUCUAUCUGUAAACUGCAGUGACGCUGCCUAUCUUAUAUGGCGAUUUUGGGGGCCGACAAGAAUGUAUACAAAGGGCGUGGUACUAACAGGGUCUCAGCUAUUAUUAUUCAUGUUGUUAUUUUGAGGAAGUUUAUCUUUGAUUGAGGGUCCCAGAUAAAUAGCAGCAAAACAAUGGGCCAAUGGAGAAGUUAAGUGGACCAUUAUGUACAGAGAGCCCCAGACAGAACGGGUCACGGCUUUCUCACUGAUGGUGGGAAGUUCCCCAGUGACUUCGCCUGCCAAGUUAUUUGUUUCCUAGCAGGGAAAUAAUACAUGGAACUUGGCCACCGUAGGCUGGAGUCUCACUGUUUUCUGGGAAUCACCUGAUGUCAGGAUUUGCAACCUGAGUGCCUGGUCCAGAACAGGGAGCUCUGCCAGGCCACAGACAAAGGUCCCUUUGGUCCCCAAGCUGGCAUUGGCCACUGCCUGCUGAGGGGCUUGCAGGCAUCAUGUGACUAUCCCUACUUAGAUCCUCAGAUAGAGACUUGGGCCAUUUCUGGGCAUUGUGUCCCAUCCACAACUUUGUGAGGGUAUAAGAAAAAUUAUUUUUUUACUACAAAAAUACCUGGACAGAUCUACUUAAUACUAAAGAAAUCUGCCUUAUCCCAAAGGAGGAAGCAGACAUUGUGGUGUCACAGAAAGAACCCCGGGAUGGGGGUCCACCAGGCAGCCUGCGCCCUCUCUGGUGACUUGGCUCAGGGAUUGCUGGUUACAGAGAAAAAAGCUCUUUCCAUUUAGUUCAAAUAAAAAACAUCGGCCUUACUGUAAGUAUUCAGGGUCAGCUCCUGGGACCCCUGCUGUAGGAAGUUCAGCUUGACCUCACAGUAAGUGGGAAGGCACCACCUCUCCCGGGCACACAGGGAAGCCUGUUUCCACAGCAUCCCAGACAUCCCAGCUCAACUCUCCUCCUGUGUAUGACUUUCCCUGCUGGGCCUGCUUUCCGCUCCCCCUUAAGCUGUCUGCCCGUGGCUGUGGCUGACCUCGGCAAUGAUUCCAGACUCGACACUCACAGACACAGUUGAGACCAAUGAUUCCUCACAGCUCACAGACACAGCCGAGACCGAUGACCACUUGGUCUCAACUUUAAAUACCGAGGAGAGAGAAUUUGAUUGGCUUAAUUUGGAUCAGGUGUUGGCUCCUGGUCAGAUCAACUGUGAUUAGGGGCAAUGGUCCCAUGAGGCCGUGGGCGGUUCCCCCUGGAACUGUGGACAGAGCAGGCUCUCCAGUCAGGGGAUGUAACAAAGCAACCAUGGACAUAUGAGAAAACUGGUUCAACUUUAUGGGUUGUAUUUUCUUCAACUGCAAAAUAAUAAUAAUUAUUAUUGUAUUAGCCAUUAAGUGUCAGAUUAAAUAAUUUUACAUAUAGAACCCAGUUGACCUCCCCUCUUUCCUGCCAACUCCUAUACCUGUUGGGUCAUCUGUGGUCACAUAACAAUAAUCCAGAUCCCCAUCUCGUAGGAUAGAGGAAGUCCACCCUCCAAGGAAGUUCUCUUCUCUAGGGUGUUCCUGGGAACCUGAGGACUGUGUGUAUGUUCCACAAGUCUACCCAGGUGGUGGCCUGUCAUCCCUACCAGCCUCCUUGCUCUGCAUUAUUGCUCCCCUUGAGCUCAGCUGGCAUCUCUAGCAUCGUGUUUUCCAGGCUGUUGACACUCACCCUUGCAUAUCUGCAUCCCUAACAUGGAUGUGAGCUCCUUCCCUCAGUCCCCAAAGCAUAGCUAAGGGAGGAUGGAAAUGGUAUAACUGCCCUCUCCAGCUUUAUUGAGUUAUAAUUGACAACUAAAAAUUGUAUAUAUUUAAGUGGUACAACGUGAUUUUUUAAAAAAUGGAAAUCUUGUAACUUUACUGAAUGUUUGGGGACAACAGAAUUUCACAAAAACACUAAGCUUGGGCUUGCAUAGCUGUUCCUGGGCCUUCCUGAGGCUAGAGGACCCAAAAGGUACCCUCAGAAUAUUUCUGCCGAGGAGUUCAGGCCAUUCUCAGAGAGAGGAAGGGCUUCAUCCCUUCCGGUCCAAAGGCCACCUCAUCGCCUUCACCAGGAUUCAUUCCAAUUGCAGGAAGCCUGAGAGUGGGAACCUCCUUUCCCUCCGGGGGAAACGCCCACUCCCACCUGUCAGGUUGCCAUCUGACACACCCACAGUCACCAAAGACCUUUCUGGUUUCAGCAGGUCUGCUUCCUCCAUUUAAACAGUCCUGCCAGGGCAACUCAACAGCCUCAGCCCAGUACUGGGGGCCAAGCCUGCACCUCCCUCCUCGUUGGGGUAGGUCCUGGCGCUGGAUCGCUUGUGAGCUCAUUUUUGGUCAAAACAACAAACUCAUCUCCCAGGAGCAUACAGUGAUUUUUUUCAGGCAUUGGACACUGAAGUUCCAAGUUUUACACAAAAAAUUUUCUGAUUUUAGGAUUUAUCUGGAAAGUCUCCAAUUGACAUUUGUAAACUGUAUACAUUAGGAUGGGAACUGGCCUUACCAGUAGGACCAAAAUGACUCAGUGCUGUGGUCCCUCCUUAAACAAAGGGAAUGUCUGUUCCGAGGACAGAUUGACUUUUUUUCCCCUCAUAAACUACAGAGACUGUCUGAAAUUCCUCAAAUGGCCACUUUCCAGCCUCAAAUAUUUAAAGCCCUAGUCUCUUCCAGGUGCCUUGUUCUAGCAAAUUAUCUCCUUUGAUCCUCCCAAGAAAUUUAGGAGGGAAGGUAUGGUUUCCUUUGUUUCACAAAGAGGAAACUGAGGCUCAGAAGUGUGGGAUAAUUAGCCUACAGGUGGUAAACAGUAGGGUGGGAUUCAAAUCCAACUUGGACCUUUGUCCUACAGCACCCUCAUCCCAUGACCCUUUCUGCUUCCGAUGGUCUGCAAUUCCGAGGGCCUUAUGAUACUGGGAGGCUCUGACCCUGGCCUGGGGGAAGGCAACUGUGAUUCCCAAGACUUGAGCCCAAAGGACAGUGCAAGCUGCCUAUUUUGCAGGGCCCAGUGCAAAAUGGAAACGUGAGCCCUUAUUCAAAAGUGAUGAAGAAUGCAACACCAUGAGAGCAGAGCGUUAAAGCAGGGACAGAUCCUUGUGAAGGCUGGGCCCUGCGCAGGCGACAGGCCUGUGAGCUGGCAGCCAGGACGAGUCACCUAGCUCUUGGGAGAAGCAUGGGCCGCGGGGCGACCUGGUGCUGGAGGACACUGGGAUGUUUUCCAGCAAGCCUGCUCUGCUCUCUCCCCUGUCACGUGGCAUGAUCGUCAAAGGAAGCGAGAGACCCAUGGGUUGUGUAGACCAGAUAAUUUCUGUAGUUUAACUGCUUGGAUUCCUCCGCUAUUGUUGUUUUGAAUAAUCUGUGUGGCUUUUGAAGAAGUGGCUUGAACUGAUUUGAGCCUUAUUCAGAGGUGAAGAAGUCGCAGGCAAAGGGGGCCUGGAUGAGAGAGGAGCGUUCAGUCGGCGCUGCAGGUCUCGCGAGUGGAGGAGCAGGUGCUGGGUGCUCAGCAGAGGUAGCGGGGACAGAGGCAGCUGGAGAGCUGUGAGCGACAGUGCUCAGCUCUAGACAGCAGAAUGACAAUCGGAAACGUAAAAGCCCAGGCGGAAAGUGAGAAAGAAGGGAGCAAAACAAACCCUCAGCUCAACUGCAGCCGAAAGAGGGGGAAGUUAAGAGAGGAAAUGGCUCAUCAGUGUAGCAAAUGGGUAGCAGCCUCUGCUGGAAGACGGGACCCCCCAGUUGUUUUCCCCAAGGGCAGAGGCAUUUGGGCACUUGGCUGGGUUUCCCCAGGAGGUGGGGUUUGCUAGAGAGAGUCUAAUUCUGGCCAAAGCCUCCCGAAUUCUCAGGUCACUGGUCUGAUCUCAAGCUUUGAAGGCCUGCUUCCAGCUUUGUGACUCUUCCCAGGGUCAGUGAGCAUGCUGUGUGUAAUCUGGGGGCCAGCCUUGGAGGACAACGGCUAACGGUCAGGUGCGGUCCCUGCCCUCCUGGAAUUCUCAGUCUGGAGGGGGAGUCAGGAAAAUGAGCAGGCAGGUGGACAGGCAGGGGAGGUGUUGGGGGGAGCACAGAGGAGGAGUGCCUCACCAGGAAAGGUCUCUCCCCAAGAAAGCCACGUUCAGACAGAAAUCUGAAGGAUGAGCAGCGUUUAUCCAAGUGUUGGGGAUGAUUGAGGUGAGGAGGGGAUCCCGGUUAAAGGGAAAGCAUGUGCAAAGGCCAGGAAGUAAGGAAGAGGGUGUUGCAUUUGAGUGAUGGACAUUGACUCCUAGGAGAGACCUUCCCAUCCACACAUGUUAGUUGAGUGGCUACUACCUGCUCAGGGCUGGAGAGCCAUCCUAUACACUUCAAUGUGCCACUCUCCAUCUGUUGCUUUUCCCAUUGCACACCCUUUCCUGCUUCUCUGUUUUCCUGAUUCUUUCCAUCUCAUACUUUGAUUGGCUCUCUCCCUUGGAUUUAUUCCACGUAUUAGCAGAAUACAAGUUCAGCUGCUGUUUCAAAGAUCAAAAUAACAUUGGCUUAAGCAAGAAAGAUGGAAGUUAAUCUCACUUUCAUGAAAUUGCCCAAGAAUAAGCUGUUGGUUGUGGAGGUGGCUCUGCAGAGGUGAGGACCCAGAAUCUCUGGCUCUUUUUCUUCCACCAUCCCUGAGGUAUCAUUCUUGAGGACAUGCUCCAAAGUGGCUCUCUACCGUGUCAGCUUUCCAUGAGGCAAGAUAGCGACAGAGGAGCUCACUCUCCUUUCUUUAAAGGUCAUGCCACGGAAAUUGUACACAUCAUUUCUGCUCACAUCCCAUUGGCCAGAGCUUGGUCAUGUGACCACACCUAGAUGCACAGAAGUCUGAGAAAUGUAGUCCAGCUGGUGCCCAUGCUCAGUGAAAUCUCAGAAGUAAAUGGAUAUUCAGAUAAUCACAGCCUCUGUCCUAUUCUAUUUCUGGUUUGUGAUCUUGGAGAUCUGUCUUCACAGACUAAUAACCCAGUAACGGCUCUCCUAUUUGAUUCAGCCCUGGGCUCCCCAUCUCUCAUGUAAACACUAGAAAGGCAGAGGACAUCAAUGCUGGAAAACGAAAUAUCAUCCUGUGCUCAGCUAAAACUUACAAAAGACAAACCAAGGGGUAAAACAUUUAUGGGAUGUGUUAGGUCAAUAAAAAUUCCUCUUCUAAGGCCAGGACAAAGGAGGUCUACACGCUGUAUUUAAAGAAGCUUUGUUGGUUAGAUUAAAUGCUGGGUGAGUCCUCUUUUGGGCCUUAAAAGCUCUCCAUCCAGAAGAGAUGAUGAAGCCACAGACUUGCCCAUAAGCCCUUAAUCAAGGCUCAGCCUGAAUUCCUCAGGCUUUGUUGCUUCGAAGGGCAAGGAAGGAAAAAAGUGACGGAUUGACAAGGAACACUGGCAGGUGGUGAAUGUGUUCCCUGCAAAGAGCCUUCCGGAGCGUGAGAGUGCUUAUGAGUGAAUGGGUUCAACCUGACGGAAGAUCCAGAUAAUCCAAUAAAACACUUCUUGUUUUUGUGACUAAUGCAACUGUCAUACUCCAUUUCCAGGAGCUCGAACCAUCUAAAAGGGACUCUGAGCCUUGAAGUUCACUUUCUGGUUUGUACAGCAUUAAAUUUUCAUCUCAGCCCUAUCUCCAAGCUGUCUACCUUUAUUUUAGGCAAUAACAGACUAAGUAGGAAGAGAUUGAGAUGGGAGUAAGAUCAUUUUGUACAGUCCAGACCUCGGUGCUUGUAAUUUGGGGUUUAGCUGCCGUUUUGGCUUAUGAACGUUUCACAGUUCCCUGUCCCCUUACGCAUACUGGACAACACCAAGGUUAUUUGUGUACAUGUCUGCCUCGUACACCAGGUUAAGAGGCUUUUGAGGACCGAGUCUCUGUCCCGGUUUGUGUGGCCUUCCCGGCAUCCAGGGUGGUGCCCGGCACACGGUAAGUAUUGAAUCAGUGCUGUUGAACUGCUGACUUCACUCCGAUAACCAACGCUGACUGUGGCUCUUUUUAGUUGUGCCAUUGUUGGCAGCAUAAGUUAUCCGAAUGCCAUAUUUCUAUCAUAUUUGCAUGUUUUUGAGCUGUGACUCCGUCUUCCCCUCCUCCCACCUUCACUCUAAGAGUCCACUGCAGUCUUUAAAAAAGGAAGGAGUGCUUAACAGAGGCUGGAAGAAUCUAUGCAUCAUAAAAAUUAAUGAUAUGGGAAAAUUGUUUCAUCGUUUCUUAUCAACUAAACAUACACUUACCUUAAGAUCCAACAGUCACUCUCUUGGAAAUUUAUCCCAGAGGAAUAAAGACUUAUGUUCAGACAAAAACCUGUACAUGAGCGUUCAUAGCAGCUUUAUUUGUAAUAGCCUAAAACUAAAAACAAUCCAAACGUCCUCCAAUGGGUGAAUGGUUAAACCUUCUCAUAUAUCCACACAGUAGAAUACUCCUCAGUAAUAAAAAGAACAAACUUUGCAGAAAUCCAAUGUAUUGGUUAGCUAGUUGCUGUAACAAAGUAUCGUACAACUGAGUGGCUUAAACAACAGAAAUGUAUUGUCUUAGUUCUGGAAGCUAGAAGUCCAAGAUCAAGGUGUCAGAAGGGCCAUGCUCCCUCUGUAGGUGCUAGGGAAGGAACUCUUCCCAGCCUCUCUCCUGGCUUUUGGCAGUUCCAUGGCUUGUGACAGCAUAACUCCAAUCUUGACAUGGUGUUGUCCCUGUGUGCCUGUCUGUGUCCAUAUUUCUCCGUUUUAUAAGGUUACCAGUCAUAUUGGAUUCGGGGCCCACAAUGCUCUAGUAUGACUUCAUCUUAACUAAUUACAUUUGCAAUGACACUGUUUCCAAAUUAUGUCACAUUUUGUGGCAGUAGGAGUUAAGACUUCAACAUAUAAAUUUGAGUGGGACAUAGUUUAACCCAUAACGUGUAACAACAUGGGUAAGGGCAUUAUGCUUAGUGAAAAAGCCAAUCUCCAAAGAUUUCAUACUGUAUAAUUCCAUUCAUGUGACAUGCACAAAAUGACAAAACUACAGAGAUGGAGAACAGAUGGGUGGUUGCCAGGGGACAGGGACAAGAGUGGGUGGGGGUGAGUCUAUAAAGGACAGCAUGAGGGAGUUUCUUUGUGGUGAGGAAAUAGUCUGGCUCCUAUUUGGUGGUGGUUAUAUGAAUCUAUAUGAGGGAUCAAAUUGCACUGGACUACACCUCCUUCCCCCAACACACAGGCGUGCAUAUAAAAACUGGUAAAAACUGAACUAGGUCCGUAGUCUAGUUAACAGUAUUGUAUCAAUGUCAAUUUUCUGGUUUCAAUAUUGUACUAGUUACACAAGAUGUCACAUUGGGGGAAGCCGGGUGAAGGGGUUCAUGGGACUACUCUAUGUACUAUACUUACAACUUCCUGUGAGUCUGUAAUCUUUUCAAAAUAAAAAGUUACAAAAAUUGAACAAUAUUGCUAUGUCGGUAGAUGGGAGGCAAGAAAUGAGAGACUGGAGGUGUAGAUUGGGUUAAAAAGUUUCUCUUGGGCUUGCCUGGUGGUGCAGUGGUUAGGAAUCCGCCUGCCAAUGAAGGGCACACAGGUUUGAGCCCUGGUCCAGGAGGAUCCCACAUGUCGCGGAGCAACUAAGUCCGUGCACCACAGCUACUGAGCCUGUGCUCUAGAGCCCACGAGCCACAACUACUGAGCCCACGUGCCACAACUACUGAAGCCCAUGCGCUUAGAGCCGGUGCUCCGCAACAAGAGAAGCCACUGCAAUGAGAAGCUGGCA